rnacentral:rRNA from 1 species
UACGUAGGGUGCAAGCGUUGUCCGGAAUUAUUGGGCGUAAAGAGCUCGUAGGCGGUCUGUCGCGUCUGCUGUGAAAACUCGGGGCUUAACCCCGGGCCUGCAGUGGGUACGGGCAGACUAGAGUGCGGUAGGGGAGAUUGGAAUUCCUGGUGUAGCGGUGGAAUGCGUAGAUAUCAGGAGGAACACCGGUGGCGAAGGCGGCUACCUGGACAGAAACUGACGCUGAGGCGCGAAAGCUAGGGGAGCAAACAGG